UAAGAGUCUAUCCUAUAAAAAUGAGAGAAUCAGUGGUGUGUGUGGGGUGGGGAGGGGGAGGUGUGUGUGUGUGUGUGUGUGUGUGUGUGUAUGGAAGGUUAUCGCAGCAUUGUUGCACUGGCCAAAAAAAAAGAAACCCAAAUGACCUGAUGUUCACCAAUAGGGCUGUACAAGUUAGGAUAUGCUACUUUAUCCAAAGGAAAUAAGCCAAAUAGCUCAAAAAAGUCAAUGGCCUAAAACAGGUUUCCUUGAAAUACUGCAGGAGAGCUGCACAAAUUGCCCUCAGGAGACCAGGUGGAGGGUCCUUCCGGGGAUGUGUGUUCACUCUUGCCACAGCUGGAGGAAGCAGGCCCUGAGUCUUGCACUGCAAAGUGAUGAGAAGGAAGCCCUGGUUAUGCUGGACUUGAAGACAUGCCUGCCGGAAGGGCCAUCAGAGUACUUCUGCAUAAACAACAGGAUCUGACUCCAGGUCUCCCAGGACGGAAGGGGCACUUGCAGGCCCAUGUGCUCAAUGGCAGGGUAAGAACAAGGGCUGGAACCCAGGCAGGCGCUCUGUGUUCUCUGGAGGGAGGGCACAUAGCACGCAGACUCCGGCUUGGGCAUCCCUUUGGCUGAAUUUGACUUCUGGUAAUUCCCACUUCCUUAAACCACUCUCUUAAGCCACGCAGAACAUCUCAGUGGCCCAGCCUACUUACAAGUUGUCCCCUGUUGAAUGGGGUAGGAGGAAAAGAUCUCGAGCAGGAGGCACAAGGGAAGAUGGUCCAAAAUGGAGAUGGGGUGGCUGGUAGGAAAGGUUUGCAUAUUGCAGAAAAAUGACCACUACAAAUUUAAUUUCAUCAAAGUUAUGCUUUAAAAAUGCAACCAAAAAUUCAAGAUGAAAAUACCCUAAGACACAGAAAUUCCAUUCUAAUGCAGACACUAAGAAAAACUCUCAUACCUGUGUACAAAGAGACAGGCACAAGGAUGUUUACUGCAGUAACAUAAGAGGGCAAAAAAUGGAAACACCUAAAUGUCAUCAACAGGGUAAGUGGUAAAUGUAUUGUGAAAUAUUCACAUGGUAAAAUACUAUUGCCAGUUUAAAUCAAUGAACUAAAGCCACAUGUUUUAUUCCUUCUUGAUUAUUCUUAGAAAACCUGUACUCUCUAUAUAGGAUCUCCUUUUCUCCCCUCCGUGUUAUUUUUCAUUGUGUUUGUCUCUGUUGUUCUCCACAUUUUUUUGUUGUUGUUGUUUUUUGAGAUGGAGUCUCAUUCUGUCACCCAGGCUGGAGUGUAAUAGCAUGAUCUCGGCUCACUGCAACCUCUGCCUCCCGGGUUCAAGUGAUUCUCCUGCCUCAGCCUCCUGAGUAGCUGGAAUUACAGGCACACACCAACACACCCAACUAAUUUUUGUAUUUUUAGAGACGGGGUUUCACCAUGUUGGCCAGGCUGGUCUUGAACUCCUGACCUCAAGUGAUCCACCUGCCUUGGCCUCCCAAAGUGCUGGGAUUACAGGCAUGAGCCACCCCACCCGGCCUCUACAUUUUUAAAAAUAAA
rnacentral:lncRNA from 1 species